rnacentral:lncRNA from 7 species
UUAUCUCUAUGGAUUGUAUCUGGAACAGCUGACUUUAAUCCAAAACAAAGUCGUACCUAUACUGAACAAGUUACUCGGAUGCUUGAGAGUUCAGAUCAACCAUCGAUAUAAUCAAUUGCAGAGCAGUCUGCAGCCAGGAACUUUGUAAAGAAGCAAGCUGUACAAAUUAGCAGUUGGACACCGCAUGAUCGCAGUGCAAAAGUAGCCAGCUACGUGAGGUCUAGGAUGGUUCGUCCGGCGGCGUGCGCGAGCACAUCAUCGACGUUCCUGAAGAAGCGAUUCAGCAUUGCCAGGAGAACGUCGGUGGUGAGCAUUGCCUUGGAGGAUCACUACGCCUAGGCAAUUCUAGUUUAAAAAAAUGGGGGAUCUAAUGAAGACG